AUGCGUCUCGCCGCCGCCGCCGCCGUCCUCCGCCCCGUGCUCUGCCUCCUCCCCUUUAGUCGCCCACCCGCCACGCCGCCUUCUCCUCUACCGUUCCUCUCCCUUCGCCGUGCUCGGGAGGAGAGCGACAGGCGGACUGGUGCAUCCCCAACGACGGGAGAAGCACAGGAACCGCCGCCUCCGGCGAGGCGCUCCUGCGCGACCAGUUCAAGACGAUCCUGCAGAAGGUCGACGAGAAGGGCGCGCCGCCACCGUCAGCAGGCCGGUCAGCAUCCACGCGCUACUCGGCGUCGUGAGGUCGCCGGCACAGCUCCUCGCGCCCACGCCGUUCAAACAUGCCACGACCUGCCCUUCUCCGGUGCACUUGGCAGCCGCAGAUGCUCCACCUCCUCCGCCUCAGCCCUCAACUCGUCGGGUGGCCUGAGGGGAGCGAUGCCUAGGCCGUUCUCUUCCUCACCACGCGGCGCCGGGAGGAUCCACAAGAGGGGGAGCGGCAACAAAUCGCGACGGAGGAGCAUGGGCUGCAAAUUCGUAUGA
rnacentral:rRNA from 1 species